rnacentral:rRNA from 1 species
AUUGAACGCUGGCGGCAGGCCUAACACAUGCAAGUCGAACGGUAACAGGAAGAAGCUUGCUUCUUUGCUGACGAGUGGCGGACGGGUGAGUAAUGUCUGGGAAACUGCCUGAUGGAGGGGGAUAACUACUGGAAACGGUAGCUAAUACCGCAUAACGUCGCAAGACCAAAAAGGGGGACCUUCGGGCCUCUUGCCAUCGGAUGUGCCCAGAUGGGAUUAGCUAGUAGGUGGGGUAACGGCUCACCUAGGCGACGAUCCCUAGCUGGUCUGAGAGGAUGACCGGCGGCACUGGAACGGAGACACGGUCCAGACUCCUACGGGAGGCAGCAGUGGGGAAUGUUGCACAAUGGGCGCAAGCCUGAUGCAGCCAUGCCGCGUGUAUGAAGAAGGCCUUCGGGUUGUAAAGUACUUUCAGCGGGGAGGAAGGGAGUAAAGUUAAUACCUUGGCUCAUUGACGUUACCCGCAGAAGAAGCACCGGCUAACUCCGUG